rnacentral:piRNA from 1 species
UCCAAGAGGAAUGUGUCCAAAAGGUUUAC